rnacentral:rRNA from 1 species
GACGAACGCUGGCGGCGUGCUUAACAUAUGCAAGUCGAACGGAAAGGCCCUGCUUUUGUGGGGUGCUCGAGUGGCGAACGGGUGAGUAACACGUGAGUAACCUGCCCUUGACUUUGGGAUAACUUCAGGAAACUGGGGCUAAUACCGGAUAGGAGCUCCUGCUGCAUGGUGGGGGUUGGAAAGUUUCGGCGGUUGGGGAUGGACUCGCGGCUUAUCAGCUUGUUGGUGGGGUAGUGGCUUACCAAGGCUUUGACGGGUAGCCGGCCUGAGAGGGUGACCGGCCACAUUGGGACGGAGAUACCGCCCAGACUCCUACGGGAGGCAGCAGUGGGGAAUAUUGCACGAUGGGCGGAAGCCUGAUGCAGCAACGCCGCGUGCGGGAUGACGGCCUUCGGGUUGUAAACCGCUUUCGCCUGUGACGAAGCGUGAGUGACGGUAAUGGGUAAAGAAGCACCGGCUAACUACGUG